UACGAAGGGGGCUAGCGUUGUUCGGAAUUACUGGGCGUAAAGCGCACGUAGGCGGACUACUAAGUCAGGGGUGAAAUCCCGGGGCUCAACCCCGGAACUGCCUUUGAUACUGAGAGUCUCGAGUCCGGAAGAGGUGAGUGGAAUUCCGAGUGUAGAGGUGAAAUUCGUAGAUAUUCGGAGGAACACCAGUGGCGAAGGCGGCUCACUGGUCCGGUACUGACGCUGAGGUGCGAAAGCGUGGGGAGCAAACAGG
rnacentral:rRNA from 1 species